ensembl:lncRNA
AAAUGCUCUGUUGUAUGUAAUGCACAUUUUGGCAGGUCAUCCAGGUAGAAUGCUAUUCUGAAUGCUACCGUAUGCUGCUUACCGUGAUUGGUCAGUCUCUUGCUGCUGAUUAAUGAUCUGAUUUGUUGAGCUGAAAGACACAGAGUUCUCUUUUGCAGGAGUCAAAUCACCCUGAAAGAGAAGGUGAGUGUUUGUGUUAGUAAUGGUUCAUGUGAUAUUUCAGUGGCUGCAUCUGAAAUCACAUACUUAUCCACUACAUCAGUGGUGACAGUAUGUGAAAAGAGUAGUAUGUCUGACUUCAUGGUGUUCAUAAAACAGCAGGUGAAAUGUUCCUGGAUGUCUUACUACUUCUGACGUGACAUCCAAUUGACACAUUACUAUCCCAUGAGGCCACGGGAGGGGAUUUGUGAAACUGAUGCUGGUAGGUCACAUGAUGAUGACAAUAUGAUGAAUGUAGUAUGUCCAGAUUACAUUCAUAUUAUACAUGUUCAUACUAUAUAGAACAUCGUUUUUUUUUAACGCUCACGAAGCAAUUAGCCUACUAAAGGAGUACCUACUCAGUAUGUGAUUUCGGAGACAGCCAAUGUUUUUGGUGCAAACAGCUUGACCAACAUUAGAAGUGGGCCUUAUAAUAGUGAUUCAAAAUUGUAGGAUGCAGUCAGCCUGUGCUAAUUUUUGUGUGAAGUCUCAAACCUGUGAAUAAGUCGGGUCCCAAAUUGGCCGGAAGGCACUGACAGGGAUUCUGUGUGGUUUUGGGGCAAGCGUUUUUCCUUGAGCCCCAAUGCAAACCUCAGCAGGAAUAGGAGCCCGUCUAGGAAUCUGCCACUGCAUGCAUAAGCUUCCCCCUGUCUGCACAGCUGAAGAAUUGUGAGUGUAUGAAGGUUUGAGGAGAACUGGAACCUCACUGUCCUCUUCAUCAUCAUCAUCCUCAUCAUCACGUGCUUCCGCUCCCCUGAGUCGAUUCAGAGUUUCAUCUGGGCUACAGGUCGUUACAGAAGAGAAGUCAAAAAUGGAUGCAUCAGCCACGUCACAGUCUGUGUCCCCAUCAUCAAGACGAUGUGACGGAGGGUACAGGUCAGAUGUGUAUAUGCGUCCGUCGAGGCCUGGAGACCCACACACACGCACGGCCAGACCAGCCGAAGAGCUCUGACUCUUGGCAGCAGUAGUGAGGUUUCCCCCGACACCUACAGGUGGAACAGGAUUCAGAAAGCGGCCGGCUUCUCUAGGAUGACGAGCGAAGGGUACACAGAUGGGACCCUUGUGGCUCUGCCCUGCGCUGCCAUUCCACAUGUACUCUGCAGUCCAGCCACCAGGGGUCAGAUCACAUAUAUGCUCAUGGCCAUUUCUGAGGGGAGACAUUGUUGUAUACUAUAGGUAAGAAAAAUGUAAUUUUAAAGAAAAAAAUCUAAAGUAGUCAACAUGUAAUGAAAAUGUAUAUAUUUUAUUUUUUUAAAUACAUGUUUUAAAUCUUGCUGUGAAUGAUUCAUCCAUGUAUGUUUUAUUAAAACAAAAAAAACUGAUAUUAUGAAAAUGACAUGUUGUUUGAAAAUUAAAUAAUUGCCAUUUGUUUCCAAUACACAUAAUCUGUACCUGCAUGCUUAAAUUGAUUUUGUUCAGUACAUUAAUACAUUUAGA